rnacentral:rRNA from 1 species
GCUGUCGUCAGCUCGUGUUGUGAAAUGUUGGGUUAAGUCCCGCAACGAGCGCAACCCUUAUCCUUUGUUGCCAGCGAUUCGGUCGGGAACUCAAAGGAGACUGCCGGUGAUAAACCGGAGGAAGGUGGGGAUGACGUCAAGUCAUCAUGGCCCUUACGAGUAGGGCUACACACGUGCUACAAUGGCGUAUACAAAGAGAAGCGACCUCGCGAGAGCAAGCGGAACUCAUAAAGUACGUCGUAGUCCGGAUUGGAGUCUGCAACUCGACUCCAUGAAGUCGGAAUCGCUAGUAAUCGUAGAUCAGAAUGCUACGGUGAAUACGUUCCCGGGCCUUGUACACACCGCCCGUCACACCAUGGGAGUGGGUUGCAAAAGAAGUAGGUAGCUUAACCUUCGGGAGGGCGCUUACCACUUUGUGAUCCAUGACUGGGGUGAAGUCGUAACAAGGUAACCGUAGGGGAACCUGCGGUUGGAUCACC